UACGUAGGGGGCUAGCGUUGUCCGGAAUCAUUGGGCGUAAAGCGCGUGUAGGCGGCCAGGUAGGUCCGCUGUGAAAACCCGAGGCUCAACCUCGGGACGUCGGCGGAAACCAUUUGGCUAGAGUCCGGAAGAGGAGAGUGGAAUUCCCGGUGUAGCGGUGAAAUGCGCAGAUAUCGGGAAGAACACCCGUGGCGAAGGCGGCUCUCUGGGACGGUACUGACGCUGAGACGCGAAAAGCGUGGGGAGCGAACAGGAGUUAGAU
rnacentral:rRNA from 1 species